rnacentral:rRNA from 1 species
GACGAACGCUGGCGGCGUGCUUAACACAUGCAAGUCGAGCGAUGAAGUUCCUUCGGGAAUGGAUUAGCGGCGGACGGGUGAGUAACACGUGGGUAACCUGCCUCAUAGAGGGGAAUAGCCUUCCGAAAGGAAGAUUAAUACCGCAUAAGAUUGUAGUAUUGCAUGAUACAGCAAUUAAAGGAGUAAUCCGCUAUGAGAUGGACCCGCGUCGCAUUAGCUAGUUGGUGAGGUAACGGCUCACCAAGGCGACGAUGCGUAGCCGACCUGAGAGGGUGAUCGGCCACAUUGGGACUGAGACACGGCCCAGACUCCAACGGGAGGCAGCAGUGGGGAAUAUUGCACAAUGGGGGAAACCCUGAUGCAGCAACGCCGCGUGAGUGAUGACGGUCUUCGGAUUGUAAAGCUCUGUCUUCAGGGACGAUAAUGACGGUACCUGAGGAGGAAGCCACGGCUAACUACGUGCCAGCCGCCGCCGUAAUAC